rnacentral:tRNA from 1 species
CUCCCCGGCCGGGAAUCGAACCCGGGCCUUCCACGAGACAGGCGAAGAUACUCAUCACUAUACCGAGGA